GGCCCUACGGGGCGCAGCAGGCGCGAAAACUUUACCAUGCGGGCAACCGUGAUAAGGAAACCCCGAGUGCCAGCACAGGCUGGCUGUCCGCCAGUUUAAACAACUGGCGAAGAAAGGGCCGGGCAAGACCGGUGCCAGCCGCCGCGGUAAUACCGGCGGCUCGAGUGGUGGCCGCUAUUACUGGGCUUAAAGGGUCCGUAGCUUGAUAAUAGGGUCCCUUGAGAAAUCCGCCGGCUUAACUGGCGGGCGUUCAGGGGAAACUUGUUUUCUAGGGACCGGGAGAGGUGAGGGGUACUGCCGGGGUAGGAGUGAAAUCCUGUAAUCCCGGUGGGACCACCUAUGGCGAAGGCAUCUCACCAGAACGGGUCCGACAGUGAGGGACGAAAGCUGGGGGAGCAAACCGGAUUAGAUACCCGGGUAGUCCCAGCUGUAAACUAUGUGCGUUAGGUGUGUCAGUGACCACGUGUCACUGAGGUGCCGAAGGGAAACCGUGAAACGCACCGCCUGGGGAGUACGGUCGCAAGGCUGAAACUUAAAGGAAUUGGCGGGGGAGCACCACAACGGGUGGAGCUUGCGGUUUAAUUGGACUCAACGCCGGGAAGCUCACCG
rnacentral:rRNA from 1 species